CCUAACACAUGCAAGUCGAACGGUAACAGGAAACAGCUUGCUGUUUCGCUGACGAGUGGCGGACGGGUGAGUAAUGUCUGGGAAACUGCCUGAUGGAGGGGGAUAACUACUGGAAACGGUAGCUAAUACCGCAUAACGUCGCAAGACCAAAGAGGGGGACCUUCGGGCCUCUUGCCAUCAGAUGUGCCCAGAUGGGAUUAGCUAGUAGGUGGGGUAACGGCUCACCUAGGCGACGAUCCCUAGCUGGUCUGAGAGGAUGACCAGCCACACUGGAACUGAGACACGGUCCAGACUCCUACGGGAGGCAGCAGUGGGGAAUAUUGCACAAUGGGCGCAAGCCUGAUGCAGCCAUGCCGCGUGUAUGAAGAAGGCCUUCGGGUUGUAAAGUACUUUCAGCGGGGAGGAAGGGAGUAAAGUUAAUACCUUUGCUCAUUGACGUUACCCGCAGAAGAAGCACCGGCUAACUCCGUGCCAGCAGCCGCGGUAAUACGGAGGGUGCAAGCGUUAAUCGGAAUUACGGGGCGUAAAGCGCACGCAGGCGGUUUGUUAAGUCAGAUGUGAAAUCCCCGGGCUCAACCUGGGAACUGCAUCUGAUACUGGCAAGCUUGAGUCUCGUA
rnacentral:rRNA from 1 species